rnacentral:snRNA from 1 species
GAGGUUGGGGGCGGACAGGCUCUGCAGUCUCUGAUCCUUACAUCAAAGUGUUAUUUGAAGAGACAGUGUGGCCCACUCUUGGACCUUGUUACGAAGUAUUCAGUA